rnacentral:rRNA from 1 species
GACGAACGCUGGCGGCGUGCUUAACACAUGCAAGUCGAGCGACAGCAUUCCUUUCGGGGGGUGUAUGGAGCGGCGAACGGGUGAGUAACACGUGAGCAACCUGCCUUUGGCUUUGGGAUA